rnacentral:rRNA from 1 species
GUCGAGCGGAUGAAGGGAGCUUGCUCCUGGAUUCAGCGGCGGACGGGUGAGUAAUGCCUAGGAAUCUGCCUGGUAGUGGGGGAUAACGUCCGGAAACGGGCGCUAAUACCGCAUACGUCCUGAGGGAGAAAGUGGGGGAUCUUCGGACCUCACGCUAUCAGAUGAGCCUAGGUCGGAUUAGCUAGUUGGUGGGGUAAAGGCCUACCAAGGCGACGAUCCGUAACUGGUCUGAGAGGAUGAUCAGUCACACUGGAACUGAGACACGGUCCAGACUCCUACGGGAGGCAGCAGUGGGGAAUAUUGGACAAUGGGCGAAAGCCUGAUCCAGCCAUGCCGCGUGUGUGAAGAAGGUCUUCGGAUUGUAAAGCACUUUAAGUUGGGAGGAAGGGCAGUAAGUUAAUACCUUGCUGUUUUGACGUUACCAACAGAAUAAGCACCGGCUAACUUCGUGCCAGCAGCCGCGGUAAUACGAAGGGUGCAAGCGUUAAUCGGAAUUACUGGGCGUAAAGCGCGCGUAGGUGGUUCAGCAAGUUGGAUGUGAAAUCCCCGGGCUCAACCUGGGAACUGCAUCCAAAACUACUGAGCUAGAGUACGGUAGAGGGUGGUGGAAUUUCCUGUGUAGCGGUGAAAUGCGUAGAUAUAGGAAGGAACACCCAGUGGCGAAGGGCGGACCACCCUGGACUGAUACUGACACUGGAGGUGCGAAAGCGGUGGGGGAGCCAAACAAGGGAUUAAUACCCCUGGG